ACAAAACAACAAACAGCAACAAAGAGAAGAUAUUCACAGCAAAAAAGUAAGUGGAAGCUGCAGGGCUGUGUUGUUUUUUUUUUUUUUUUUUUUUUUUUU
rnacentral:ribozyme from 1 species